AGAACGAACGCUGGCGGCGUGCUUAACACAUGCAAGUCCAACGUGAAAGGGGAGCAAUCCCCCGGUAAGGUGGCGAACGGGUGAGUAAGACAUGGGAAAUCUGCCUGGGAGAUGGGGAUAUCCCUCCGAAAGGGGGGCUAAUACCGAAUACCGUCCGGAUUCUGAAAGGGGUCCGGGGAAAGGGAGGCCUCUGGCAACAUGCUUCCGCUCCGAGAGGAGCCCAUGGCCCAUCAGCUAGUUGGUAGGGUAAAGGCCUACCAAGGCGAAGACGGGUAGCUGGUCUGAGAGGACGACCAGCCACACUGGCACUGAGAUACGGGCCAGAC
rnacentral:rRNA from 1 species